rnacentral:rRNA from 1 species
AUUGAACGCUGGCGGCAUGCUUUACACAUGCAAGUCGAACGGCAGCGCGGGCUUCGGCCUGGCGGCGAGUGGCGAACGGGUGAGUAAUGCAUCGGAACGUGCCCAGUAGUGGGGGAGAGCCCGGCGAAAGCCGGAUUAAUACCGCAUACUAGCUGAGGGUGAAAGCGGGGGACGGAAGGGCCGCGCGCUAUUGGAGCGGCCGAUGUCGGAUUAGCUAGUUGGUGGGGUAGAGGCUUACCAAGGCGACGAUCCGUAGCUGGUCGGAGAGGACGACCAGCCACACUGGGACUGAGACACGGCACAGACUCCUACGGGCGGCAGCAGUGGCGAAGUUUGGACAGUGGGGGCAACCCUGAUCCAGCCAUGCAGCGUGCGGGAAGCAGGCCCUCGGGUGGUAAACCGCUUUUGUUCGGGAAGAAAUCCUCUGGGCUAAUACACGGGGGGGAUGACGGUACCGGAAGAAUAAGCACCGGCUAACUACGU